CAGCAGUAAGGAAUAUUGGGCAAUGGAGGCAACUCUGACCCAGCCAUCCCGCGUGAAGGAUUAAGGCCCUAUGGGUUGUAAACUUCUUUUGUUUGGGAAGAAAUCUGGACAUUUAUGUGCAGUUGACGGUACCUUAMGAAUAAGCACCGGCUAACUCCGUGCCAGCAGCCGCGGUAAUACGGAGGGUGCAAGCGUUAUCCGGAAUCACUGGGUUUAAAGGGUGCGUAGGCGGUUUGAUAAGUCAGAGGUGAAAGCUAGCAGCUUAACUGUUAAAUUGCCUUUGAUACUGUCAGACUUGAAUCAAGUUGAGGUAGGCGGAAUGUGACAUGUAGCGGUGAAAUGCAUAGAUAUGUCAUAGAACACCAAUUGCGUAGGCAGCUUGCUGGGCUUGAAUUGACGCUGAGGCACGAAAGCGUGGGGAUCAAACAGGAUUAGAUACCCUGGUAGUCCACGCCCUAAACGAUGUUAACUCGAUAUUUAUUCUUCGGAGUGAGUGUCCAAGCGAAAGCGUUAAGUUAACCACCUGGGGAGUACGUUCGCAAGAAUGAAA
rnacentral:rRNA from 1 species